rnacentral:rRNA from 1 species
GAUGAACGCUAGCGGCAGGCCUAAUACAUGCAAGUCGGACGGGAUUCAGGAGCUUGCUUCUGAUGAGAGUGGCGCACGGGUGCGUAACACGUAUGUAACCUACCUUUAUCAGGGGGAUAGCCUCUCGAAAGAGAGAUUAAACCCGCAUAAAAUCACAGCACAGCAUUGUGUAAUGAUCAAAUAUUUAUAGGAUAAAGAUGGGCAUGCGGAACAUUAGCUAGAUGGCGGGGUAACGGCCCACCAUGGCGACGAUGUUUAGGGGAUCUGAGAGGAUGGCCCCCCACACUGGUACUGAGACACGGACCAGACUCCUACGGGAGGCAGCAGUAAGGAAUAUUGAUCAAUGGGCGGAAGCCUGAACCAGCCAUGCCGCGUGCAGGAAGACGGCCCUACGGGUUGUAAACUGCUUUUAUACGGGAAUAAACCCAGAUACGUGUAUCUGGCUGAAUGUACUGUAAGAAUAAGGAUCGGCUAACUCCGUG